rnacentral:rRNA from 1 species
UACGUAGGAGACGAGCGUUGUCCGGAAUUACUGGGCGUAAAGCGCGUGUAGGCGGAUGAGCAAGUCUGCUGUGAAAGCUCCUGGCUUAACCGGGAGUGGUCGGUGGAAACUGCUCGUCUGGAGGACGGUAGAGGUAGGUAGAAUUCCCGGUGUAGUGGUGAAAUGCGUAGAGAUCGGGAGGAACACCAGUGGCGAAGGCGGCCGGCUGGGGGGUGACCUGACGCUGAGGCGCGAAAGCGUGGGGGAGCGAACCGG